UACAGAGGGGGCAAGCGUUGUUCGGAAUUACUGGGCGUAAAGGGCGCGUAGGCGGCCAACCUCGUCAGACGUGAAAUCCCUCGGCUCAACCGGGGAACUGCGUCUGAUACUAGUUGGCUCGAAUCCGGGAGAGGGAUGUGGAAUUCCAGGUGUAGCGGUGAAAUGCGUAGAUAUCUGGAGGAACACCGGUGGCGAAGGCGGCAUCCUGGACCGGUAUUGACGCUGAUGCGCGAAAGCCAGGGGAGCAAACGGG
rnacentral:rRNA from 1 species